rnacentral:rRNA from 1 species
AUUGAACGAUGGCGGCAGGCCUAACACAUGCAAGUCGGACGAGUGGCGGACGGGUGAGCAAUGUCUGGGAACCUGCCUGAUGGAGGGGGUUAACUACUGGAAACGGUAGCUAAUACCGCUUACCAUCAGAUGGGCCCAGAUGGGAUUGGCUAGUUGGUGGGGUAACGGCUCACAAAGGCGACGAUCCCUAGCUGGUCUGAGAGGAUGCCCAGCCACACUGGAACUGAGACACGGUCCAGACUCCUACGGGAGGCAGCAGUGGGGAAUAUUGCACAAUGGGCGCAAGCCUGAUGCAGCCAUGCCGCGUGUAUGAAGAAGGCCUUCGGGUUGUAAAGUACUUUCAGCGGGGAGGCGUUACCCGCAGAAGAAGCACCGGCUAACUCCGUGCCAGCAGCCGCGGUAAUUC